GUGAACGUAGCUUAAUUGGUAGAGUCCCCGCCUCCAAAGCGGGUGGAUGCACGUUCGAAUCGUGCCGGUUACG
rnacentral:tRNA from 1 species